UACAGAGGUCUCAAGCGUUUGUUCGGAUUCAUUGGGCGUAAAGGGUGCGUAGGUGGCGCUGUAAGUCGGGUGUGAAAUUUCGGAGCUUAACUCCGAAACUGCAUUCGAUACUGCGGUGCUUGAGGACUGGAGAGGAGACUGGAAUUCAUGGUGUAGCAGUGAAAUGCGUAGAGAUCAUGAGGAAGACCAGUGGCGAAGGCGGGUCUCUGGGCCGAUACUGACGCUGAGGCGCGAAAGCUAGGGGGAGCGAACGGG
rnacentral:rRNA from 1 species